rnacentral:rRNA from 1 species
GAUGAACGCUAGCUACAGGCUUAACACAUGCAAGUCGAGGGGCAGCAUUUUAGUUUGCUUGCAAACUAAAGAUGGCGACCGGCGCACGGGUGAGUAACACGUAUCCAACCUGCCGAUAACUCGGGGAUAGCCUUUCGAAAGAAAGAUUAAUAUCCGAUAGCAUAUCAAGAUCGCAUGAUCUUGAUAUUAAAGAAUUUCGGUUAUCGAUGGGGAUGCGUUCCAUUAGUUAGUUGGCGGGGUAACGGCCCACCAAGACGACGAUGGAUAGGGGUUCUGAGAGGAAGGUCCCCCACAUUGGAACUGAGACACGGUCCAA